UGAAGGAAGAAGAAAUUGAUGUUGAUGAACUUAAGCUUGAAAUAUUCUGCAAGGCUCUUCAAAGGGAUCGGUGGUCUAGUUCAGAUGGCCAAGAUGAUCCAGUUGAAGCUGCAAAAGACAGUUUGUUUGUGAAACUGUUACAGAAACUGUUAAAGGAAGAUAUUUUGCUGAAAGAAUUCUUGCCACAUGUAAAUGACUUACUACAGUGCAACAAACUUGAAGGCCUGAACUCUGACCCAUACUUUGAAUUUGUGUUAAGAGCAAACUAUGAGCAUUAUGUUCAAGGGCAAGCGUGACAAUUAUCAGAUUUGUUAAUCCUAAGACAUGAUGGCUGUUUAUCAUUUGUCAUGGGAUGGGGUAUAUAUUGCUGCAUUUUUGUUAAUGUAUGUUGUAAAUGUCAUUUAUGUAAAAUUAAAUAGUUUGUAUUCAUUAGGGCAGCACGAGUUCAGCUUGUGAAAUUUACAUUUUUUUGUUUUAACAAAUUUCUGAGCCUCUCACUGCGUUGUGUUUACCAUUAUUAUUGACUUUUCAGUGACUGUUUAAAGGGAUGAAGAGGUGCAUCAUGUUAGCUUUCUCCACUAUCUUGCUACUAUUCAAUAUCCCUGUGCUGCAGUUCCAUGUAUUGCAGUAACCUGUUAGGCAGACACUGAGCAGUAAUGGAAGUAGUUUUAUUCCCAUCUGUCUUUUGUAGUAGGAUGAUCUGAGGUUCACCUCCCCGGAAGUGUACAGAAUUGUUCUAGCUGAAAAAGAGUUGCAAGUUCUGAACAUUUGCUCAUUUGAGUGCCAGAUUUAGUUCUGAAAUUGAAACCUCGUUUUCAUAAACCAUGGUGAUAUGAGUUGAGAUCUGAGAUGCAGUGUCAUUUCUGCAUGUAUUUUUUAUUUCAAGGUUGGAUCUGCCUUUUAUAUUACUUCUGACAGAUUUAUAUAGCUGGUGUACAGUUUUUAGUAUCUGAGACAAUGAAGCAAAUACUUUAAACUUUGACUUGUCAUGUAGUUAUAAAGAACAUUUUUUGUACAGAUAAUUAAAUGUGAAAAUUUGAAGUGUUUGCUCAAUAAACAUACUGUUGUUUACUGUUUUCAUACC